GGCACCUCUGCAGAGAGGAAAAGUACAUGCAUUUCAACAGACGAUGCUGUUGUGAGCUAGAAGGAAACUUACAGAGUUACUUACCAAAAAAAAGGAGCUGCUGUCGUCCUCUUCCUUGCGGCCCAUCUUCUCCAGAGUGGAAGCAGGGAAUUCUGUCAGGAAGGGCAGGAGAGAAAGGAUUGAUGUGCCAGGUACUCACAUGAAGAACAGAAGUAACUAGUGGCUAAUUGGAUUGAAGGUGUUGUGAAUGCUUUUUGCUUGGUCAGAGGAUUCAAACUUAUCAACAGCUUUGAAAUACAUGAAUUUUUGUACUUAUUUUGCCACUUACAACUGUUAGUGCUAGCCAUGUCGCUGUGAUUAUGUCCCAGUGUCAGUACCGUUUAAUAUUAGAUCAGCCAAACAGGCAACCGGUGACCAUAUGGUAGUAUUGUCUUGUGGGUAUAUUCGUUUAUGCAUGUUGACAAUUGAAAAUAUUUAUAUUAUGCUUUAUGUUUAGUGGUAAAAAAAACAAGCUGGGUGGUUGCUAAUUUUAACGAAAGCAUCUGUGACUUCAUGGAUUAAAAAGUUAGGUACAGUUAGGGAUGCAGAUGGAUUAUAGUUGAGCUGCUUUAUUGCUCAAAUAUUAAAUAGUUUAGAGAGCUCAUGACUGCAGAAGGGAAAUCAACGUAGAACACUUCUGAGUCUGUCUUGUAUAGUUUGUGUUGCUAUCUUCUUUAAUUUUUGUUAAUUGACAGAUUGCUUUUGCAUCUGAGUCAUCACCUUCCCAUUGCCUUUUUCUUUCAGGGAGUCACAAGGCUGUGAAAUCCCAGUUCUGUCUGUUGGGUGGCCCAUGAUGUAGCACAGGGGUGCUGGCCCCAGUGAGAGCCACCCCUCUCCAGCUCCGCCUGGGAAGGGUGGCUUGAGGAGCAGCUGCUCAUCUUGGUAAAGCCUGUCCAACUUAAAGGGCUUGCGGAGGCAAAAUGCAAAGGGGAAUCUAAUUAGGUUUUUACCAGACAGAAUAAUCCAGCCUUGGUCUACGGUGACACAAUGGUCAGGCCACAAAAUCAGGAAUAUGCAGCUUCUGGCGUCAAAUUCCUGCUCCACUGGAUGGUUGCUGAGCACUUAUUAUUUACAUUUAAAUAUUUAAUUGCACAAAAUCUGGUUUGUUACUAAACACUUCAGGAAGACUUCUAGGUGCUCAGCACAUCUGAAAUUUAAGCACCUGAUCUGGGUGCUAAGUCUUCUGCCACUCACAUUUUAAAAUAUUGACAUGAGACUGACUCUCAGUCUCACAAGUUCUCUGAACUGGAACUCCAGAAGCCUGGGCUCCCGUCCAGCACUGCCACAAAGGGCUCUUUGACCUUGGUCAAGCCCUGUCCCUCCCCACUUCCCCUCCCACCUCUAAGCUCUUUAGAGUACAGACUGUACAGUGGUCCUGUAAUGCAAAAAGUAAUGCUAUCAUCACUUGUGGGAGCUCACCAGAGUGGUGUGAGAAUUAGAGCUUAGACAAGGUUUGGAAGGUGUGAAAUGUUAUACAAACAUCUAAGUGCUCUUAAUAAGAUCAGGUCUAACAUUACAGAACUGGAAAUACACUGGAAGAUGAACAAUGAAGUCUGUAGAUGAGAAAAAUUUUCAAAAAAUAACAACUGGUGGGGCUUGUUGCACUGUCAGGAUACAAAAGAAAUGCACUGAAAAUAUCCACUGACAGACUGACAGAAGGGGAUUGGAUGCUGGCAGCAGUGCCGUCAGCACAUGCGACAUCUCCCUUCUCGGGAGCAAGGAUGCUGUUCUCCAAAAGCCUGCAAGACACAGCUGAAUCUUUGAAAGACAAAACUGAAUCUUUUGUGUAAAAACAAUGUGUUUGGAAAAGGCAAAGUAUUAAAGCAGACAAAAAGCUGAAAGAUUUUAUUUCAAGACAGGCAGCUUAGAUAUUGAAUUAUUCCUGAACCUAGUUUAUCUCCUUAAUUAACAUGGUUUGAGGAUUUUGAGAUCCUUGACACAAUUUUUUAAAGGUUAAUUUAACAUUAUUGAAAGCAAAAAUGACUCAACUGCAAACAGUUGAAGCCUUCAGCCUAUAAAAUCACUAAAGGCCAGUGCACACUUAACUUUUAUUUACUUUCUGGAUUCUGAUGCAUGUGCAACUCCUAGAAAUACAAAUCUUCAUAAAAAUCAGCCAUAUUUUGCUGUUCAAAAUCAGUGAAGAUCAAAAGUUUGUCACAAAAAUGCUGAUCAAAUAAUAGAAACCUCUUUCUGCCAAUAUUUUGAGUUCCAAACCUAAAUUUUCUUUCCAAGUCAUCCCUCUGUGCCACCCAUUCAAAUCUCUACCAAACUGGAACUUCACAAAAAGAGAAUUUUAAGCAGAGACUUUCAGUCACUGAUGAGAACAAGUUUCAUCCAGUUUAACCAAAUGUAAAAUGCAUGAUGCCACUAUGAUUUUGACUCACUCAGAUUUGACUCAAUUCAGAUGACCUCUCGAUUCCUGUUCCAGCCUACUGUCAAGCAAAGAAUACAUAGUAAAAAAAAGUAGGUUAGCCUAGCCCCUGUGGGCCUUAGGGAUUAACAGUAUUUUAAUCUUCCUUCCUGUCCAGCUACGAUGCCAAGAUAUGGCCUGGUUAGCACAAAACUCUUUGAGCUUGCCACCCAUCCCUGUGGAUGUAGGCUGACAGCCAGAAAACUCUUUGCAGAGGGGCAGAGACGAUGGUGCACUCAGAGAGCACUUGCAUCCCGCUGUCCUUGGCAUGUGAGAAAUGACCAACUCCCGCUGCGAACGCGCUUUGCAUGGUGCUCUCUGCCACCCUCUUCCAUGACAGAGAGCAGCCAGCCAUGUAGUCCGCCGAGCUUCCCUGCAAAUGCCGCAGGAGAGGAGCCUGGCAGCUGUACGACACGGAGGACAGGACAGAGGCGCAGGCUCUGAAUUCAUCCAGCAAUGCCCUGACCUUUCUCAAUACCAGUACAUGGUGUGUGGAUAAACAGAACUUAAUAUAUCUAUUUGCUCAGUUGAAGAAGCUUUACUUUUCACAAGAGUAGAAAACAUCAUCAUAAAAGUUGGGCAAACAGACUUUGUGCUUGGGCUGGCAGGUUUUCCUGCCAUAUGAUGUGUCUGUCUGCGCACUUCCAUCGUUUGUCGGCUCCAUCCCGACGCCCCGGUCGCAUGUGCAUCGUUCCUGGCCUCGGGGGCAGCUCUCCUGUCACGGCAGUGCAAUGCACACACGAAGAAUGGGGUAGAGCACACCUGACACACACUUGAACAAUGUAUUAUUAUAAACUCCUAAUAGGAGAGAAGGGUCUAUGUGUGUCUAUUUGUUUGUUCUCCUUUUACUAGUGCAAUAACAAUAGUGCAUUAAGAUUGCAAAAUAAAAUGGAAAUGCUCAUUAAUUAAUGCAUGUAAAGAUUUUUGGAGAGAAAAAGAAAAGUAUAAAGUAUUCCUUUAAUUUGUUUAGCAUGCCACCCCCCUCAUAACAAAUUAAGCAGUAACAGGACUUAAUCUGACAACUAUAUGCUGAAAGUAGUUUCAGUAUUAAUGUCUAACCUUUGGGCUCUUCUAGAGACUAAGUCAAUAAAUGUGACUGCUGCUUUAUUCUCUCUGAUCCAGCAAAUGACACAUCAUUGCUUAGAAUGUAACGAGUGUUAUUAUGACCUUGCUUAAAUAUUUCCUGAAGAAAUUGGUGCAGCUUUCAUAUCUCACAGUAACAGAUCCAUCUGCAGACAGAUAUUCUGCUUCUGAAUGGAUAUACUGCAUUAGCAAAAUUAUUGUAAGACGUGAUUAAUAAUCUUGUGACAAAGUUACCUGUGGAGGGGGAAGAUGCAUGCUUCUUUCAUGAUUUUGGCAUUAGAAUUAGAAAGAAGUUUAGAUUAAAAAAGGAGGAGAAUACAAAGUCAAAGGGAUUUGCUUUAAAAAAAAAUACACCAAAACAAUCAUUCUGUGUGUGAAUGAAUUAACUAACAGGCCAGUCUCUGUGUUCAGGGACAACCAAACAAGAAACUGAAGACAUGAGAUCGCCAUUAGAAACAAAUCUACAUUAAACAUUUUGUAUUCGUUCCACUACUCCAUUGAUUCAAAAGCAGUGCAUUAACUUAGGAGUCCUUGAUGAACACUUGCAGAAUCACAUUUUUCAAUAUAAAUAUUUCACAUUCCUUAAAAGAGUUUUGAAGUGAAAUGUCAUAACCCAGCUUUCUAUGAAGUUGCUAAAUAUAACGUAUGAGUGCAGUAGAAUAUUAGACUAACAGUCUGUGCAAAGAGGUACUCCCAUAUUUUCCUGCUAGAGGAUGCAGUUCAUUUUAAAAACAGGUUAGCCAGAAUCCAACUUAAUGCCUGCCUGCUUUGUUGUACAGAACAGACAGGAAAAGCAAAGGAUUAUUAAGGAAAUAAUAUUUUGCUUACCCAAGUCAG